rnacentral:rRNA from 1 species
UACAGAGGUCUCAAGCGUUGUUCGGAUUCAUUGGGCGUAAAGGGCUCGUAGGUGGCCAACUAAGUCAGACGUGAAAUCCCUCGGCUUAACCGGGGAACUGCGUCUGAUACUGGAUGGCUUGAGUUUGGGAGAGGGAUGCGGAAUUCCAGGUGUAGCGGUGAAAUGCGUAGAUAUCUGGAGGAACACCGGUGGCGAAGGCGGCAUCCUGGACCAACACUGACACUGAGGAGCGAAAGCCAGGGGAGCAAACGGG